CCCGCACAGCCCACGAAUCCACCAUCCACCACCACCCCUAUCCCCAUCAACAACGCAAAAACCUAAACCGCUCGCUCUGGUCCAUCCAGAUCCACAGUCGCCAUCGCCCCCACCUCUCGUCGUCGUCUCCGUGCACCACUCGGCCCCCACUGUCGGCCGCGCCUCCCAGCCACCUCGUGCCGCUCUGCCACCCCGCCCGUCCUCCACUGCCCCUAUGGCUGCCAUGGGCGAGCGCUGCCCGAGUAGCCGACCGCCCUUUCCCCGCCGUCUUCAGCUGCCGCGCGCUGCCCCGCCUCCCCGCCAGGCCUCCACUGCCCACUUCUCCGGCGGCUACAGCGGAAGGCAAGGAGAAGGACAGCGGGCAGCGGUAGCUGGAUCUAGCAAGCACAGGGCGUCUUCUCCAUCCGCCACCUCUCGGCGCAUCAUCAGCUGAGAGUUUCAGGCAUUUGCUCAGGAUAUCAAGAGGAGGGAAGAGGCGCUGAAGAAUGGUGCAGAUACACAUUUGUUUUUGCAUAAUUGCUGCCAUAGCUCCACCAAUUGUAUUUCAUGGGAAAUCAUUAACAUAUUUCGUUCCCUCCGUUGAGAAGAUCCAGCAACUCCUUGUGCUAUGUAGCCCCCUUUGAAGAUAAAAAAACUUCUGAUAGGUUUGGAGCUACUGCUCUCAGCUGCAGGUGUCCAUCUCUUGAACAUAACCUUUGUGGUUUGCUCAGUCUGGAGCUAUUUUGUUUCAGCUGUGUUGUGUGAUUAAAAUUGGGUCUCGGAGGUAUUUUGCAGAACUACCACUAUGUUUUAAUCUUGUAUGUUUGGUCUGUCGAUCUUGUUGUCAUUACUGAAGGAGUUUUGAUCUGAUACCACAUC
rnacentral:misc_RNA from 1 species